rnacentral:rRNA from 1 species
UGAGUACGAGAUGCUACGGCAUCGAAGCAGUCUAUGUCAUACUUCCAAGAAAAGCUUGCAAUGUCAUAAACAAAUAAUGCCUGUACCAUAACCGACACAGGUGGGUAGGUAGAGUAUACUAAGGGGCGCGAGAUAACUCUCUCUAAGGAACUCGGCAAAAUGACUCCGUAACUUCGGGAGAAGGAGUGCCUUAUUUUUAUAAGGUUGCAAUAACAAGAUCCAAGCAACUGUUUACCAAAAACACAGGUCUCCGCUAAGUCGUAAGACGAUGUAUGGGGGCUGACGCCUGCCCAGUGCCAGAAGGUUAAAGAAGUUGGUUAGCAUUAGCGAAGCUGAUAACUGAAGCCCUGGUGAACGGCGGCCGUAACAAUAACGGUCCUAAGGUAGCGAAAUUCCUUGUCGGGUAAGUUCCGACCCGCACGAAAGGCGUAAUGAUUUGGAUACUGUCUCGGAGAGGGGCUCGGUGAAAUAGACUUGUCUGUGAAGAUGCGGACUACCUGCACCUGGACAGAAAGACCCUAUGAAGCUUUACUGUAACUUGAGAUUGAAAUUGGACUUUAUCUGCGCAGUAUAGGUGGGAGACUUUGAAAAUAUUCUUGCGGGAAUAUUGGAGUCAUCAGUGAGAUACCACUCUUAUAAUGUUAGAUUUCUAACUUUGUAUCAUUAUCUGGUCAAAGAACAGUUUCAGGCGGGCAGUUUGACUGGGGCGGUCGCCUCCCAAACGGUAACGGAGGCGCACAAAGGUUUCCUCUGAACGCGUAGAAAUCGUAUCUAGAGUGUAAAGGCAUAAGGAAGCUUGACUGUGAGACCUACAAGUCGAGCAGGGACGAAAGUCGGUCUUAGUGAUCUGACGGUGCUGAGUGGAAAGGCCGUCACUCAACGGAUAAAAGUUACUCUAGGAUAACAGGCUGAUCUCCCCCAAGAGUUCACAUCGACGGGGAGGUUUGGCACCUCGAUGUCGGCUCAUCGCAUCCUGGGGCGGUAGUACGUCCCAAGGGUUGGGCUGUUCGCCCAUGAAAGCGGUACGCGAGCUGGGUUCAGAACGUCGUGAGACAGUUCGGUCCAUAUCCGGUGUAGGCGUUAGAAUAUUGAGAGGAGCCUUCUUUAGUACGAGAGGACCGAGAAGGACAUACCUCUGGUGUACCAGUUAUCGUGCCAACGGUAAACGCUGGGUAGCCAUGUAUGGAGAGGAUAACCGCUGAAAGCAUCUAAGUGGGAAGCCCACCUCGAGAUAAG